AAAUUAACUGAGGUAGGGUUAACAUCAAUGUUUCAAGUAUUUAUCUUAGAUGGUACCAUUUGUUCAUAGAACAAAAUUCAUUAAAUGAUCCAAAUGUGCAAAUAAAGGCAGUACAUGUAUAGAUACUUAAAAGACCUUUCUCUUAAAUAAAAUGUAAAAGCAGCUCCUGAUGCAUUACAAUGCACAGCCACAACCUGAAAGCUCAAGUACAAUGUUCUU
rnacentral:lncRNA from 1 species